rnacentral:rRNA from 1 species
UACGUAGGGUGCGAGCGUUGUCCGGAAUUAUUGGGCGUAAAGGGCUCGUAGGCGGUCUGUUGCGUCAGGAGUGAAAAACUCGGGGGCUUAACCCCCGAGCCUGCUUCUGAUACGGGCAGACUAGAGGUAUGCAGGGGGAGAACGGAAUUCCUGGUGUAGCGGUGAAAUGCGCAGAUAUCAGGAGGAACACCGGUGGCGAAGGCGGUUCUCUGGGAAUGUCCUGACGCUGAGGAGCGAAAAGUGUGGGGGAGCGAACAGG